GACGAACGCUGGCGGCGUGCUUAACACAUGCAAGUCGAACGAAGUGGCGAACGGGUGAGUAACGCGUAAUCAACCUGCCCUUCAGAGGGGGACAACAGUUGGAAACGACUGCUAAUACCGCAUACUGAAGGAGGGGAUUGCGUGUGAUUAGAUCGUUGGCGGGGUAACGGCCCACAAAGGCGAUGAUUAGUAGCCGGUCUGGUGGGAUGAACGGCCACAUUGGGACUGAGACACGGCCCAGACUCCUACGGGAGGCAGCAGUGGGGAAACGUCCGCAAUGGACGAAAGUCUGACCGAGCAACGCCGCGUUAGUGAAGAAGGUUUUCGGAUCGUAAAGCUCUGUUGUUAAGGAAGCGGUACUUAACCAGAAAGGGACGGCUAACUACGUGCCAGCAGCCGCGGUAAUAC
rnacentral:rRNA from 1 species